rnacentral:lncRNA from 1 species
GAGACGUCGUUCGCGGCGGGUCGGCACCGUCCAUCGGGUGGAAAGACGCGGGCGAUGGCUCGCACGCCGGUUUCCGGCACAGACAACGUCACAGAAACGUCACUCCCUCUAGUUGAUGCAAAGCCUGACCCACGGCAAUUGCUGUUCCUUUCCGAGAAGCGCGCAAGGAGAGCAGCAUCAGUGGCGCAUCCGAGUUCACCGGUUAGCAGUGUAAGCAAUUGUGACUCACCAAGAUGAACUUCACGCUGUUCCCCGCUAUUAUUGCUACAUGUUACCUGAUUUCUGGACUUACAGCAGUUGUUCAUGUACCAGUCCUUCUAAAUGUU